AUGGAGGUAACUGCAGAGAAGGACACUGUCUCUAAGAGACCCAAGACAGAGGGACAGCAGGACCAAACAAAGUCCCCCAGAAGAGAUCAGGAUAUGAAGAAGAAGACAAGGAGAGGUAAUAGAAGAAAAAGUAAAGGAAUGAAAAAUCAAGCUGACAAGGAUCCUCAGACUCAGAGUACACUGGAAAAAGGGCAGACCAUCCAGGUGUGUCAAACCUUGGAAACACAUACACAAGAACACAACCAAGACCAAGACCACCAAGCUGAAACCAGUCAACAACAGGAACAGUCCAUGCAUCAGCCUAAUGAUACAAAACAAACACAUGUCAAGGAUGCUAAGAGAGUUCACGUCCAGACUCAAACAAAUAAACCUAAAGGCAAGAACCGGGCAACUCAGACCCCUUUAGUUGUUCAGAACACACAGCAGACACAGACAGAACCCUCUGAUUCCACUCAGCCAAUGACAGAUGAACAUGCUGACACCACUCAGCCAAUGAAUGAGCAAACACAGAACAGCGAUGGAGCAGGCAGUGAAGGAGCAGCAUCAGAACCACCUAAGAGGGAGAAUCCAAACUCUACCGAAGAGGUAAAGAGUAAGCCCGAAUCAGAGAAAGGGGUACAACAUUCAGGAGAAAGCUCAGGGAGUCCCGCAGCCUGCCAGGUAAAACAGGGAGUCAAAUUAACUACCAAGUCUUAUGCAGAAGCUGCAGCGGAAGAUAAAACAAAGACUCAGAAGAGGUCGAGUCCUCAGACUUCAAAUCAAUGCAAAAAGGAUUCCAAGAGUAGAGGAUGUCGGUAAGCUGGCAAUAAGCUUAUGGCAUGCUGUUAUUACCUGAGUACAAUGAGUAACAACACAUGACGCGACACACAAGUAUACUGUUAUUACUUCUUUAUUACUGUAACUAGUCACUCAACAUUUUCGGUCUUCUUUUAUUUUCUCGCCUUCAUCAGAGAGCGGUCCCCAGUAAGGAUUCCUCCUGGGAUUCCUAUGUUCACCUUUCAUAUCUAUGCUGUGCUGAACAAAAAGUUCAGAUUCAACCAAGAAUAUGACACACUCUUGUUAUGUCAUCAAGAUGAAACUCAUGCACUUGAAAUGACUCAUUUCGUGUGAGUAUGAAUACUUUUCUCCUUACUGGUGAUGUUGGAUCGAUGAGAAUAUUUUACUGUUUAUCGGCUACACAAUACACACAUGGUGAUAAUUAUCAUUGUUUGUAAAUCAGUUUUAAAUUUAUUCUUUAGAGGUCUAUGUCAGCAAGGCUAUCUAAUAGAAGCAAGUCUCUCAGUACCGGAAAGCUCAAUACCCAGGGGACAAAUGUUGACUUACCAAUAUCGGGUGCAGCAAAGGCAGAAAAAGAUUUUGGAGAUAGCCACAAGGAAUAUUCAAAUUCCAAAUGAUUCACAAGUAAAGGGUAAGAGGAAAACAUUUAAAAUCUAUUUUUAGAAGUUAACAAUUACCUUGUAUGUUACAUUGAGUAUGAUACUGAUUAUUCAUCAUUGUUUCCAGAGUUGCACCUAUAUGAGGGUCACAUUCAUCGGCUGGAGUCAUGGUGGUCCUUCCAAGGGUGGUUAGAUGUGUUCCAAUCAAAAGGAAAGGGUAUGGCUGAUGCCUGGCAAGCCUCUGCCCAUCUACUACUAGACCACAUUUUACAGAAAUGGGAUCCACCCAACCAGGAGAGCACUGUGCAGUUUGCUCAGCUCUUGCAUCAUUUCCAGAGGAGUUACUCCUCAGCUGUUCAACAGGUGGUCUACCCAGGAUAUUUCAAUCCCCCUUUGGUUAAGGUGAGUGGGACAUUUACAGUGUGUAAUGAUAUUGUAAUGGCAUUUCAAGAAAACAGUAUGACCAUUAGAUCCAAUACCACACAUUCAACGUUUUCAUUAUUUUUCUCUUUUUUUGGAAUAAAGGUGUCAGAGUUGAUUUCUGAGCAUUUGCUGCAGCUGUUGCAUGCUGAGUCCCAGGGAACAUCGCAGAAGAGCCAGACUGUCAAAAACCCUCUAGUGUUUGGCUUGUCUUUGUUCAGAGUCUGCCAAGCUUGUCAGAUAGAUCUUGGGGUGAAGGGCUGGGCAAAUCUAUGCUACGUAGUGUCCUCACACACUGCACUUGACAGCAGAAACAUAGAGGAAAUUAGAAAUGUCUUCUCUUUUCCACAAAAGUGAGUUUCAGAUGCAAUGUUUAUAUUGUGUUGUUUGAUUACAGCAACCCUGUUUAUAUGUUGGGCGAAAUCUGUUAAUCUGUCUUUCUUUGUCUCCACAGCCUUGUGAUUGGUAUGGUCAACUACUGCUCACAGAGGCUGGUCUCAGAGCUUCCCCUGCUCAUUCCUCUACUGCACACUCUCAUACAGCCGGGAGCAGACGCUGGCAGGCUUGGUCCUACUAUAGAGGAGAUGAACUGGGCAGGGCUUGAAAAUGUUAAGUACAACAACUUCAGAGAGAGGAUCAGAAGCUUUUCUGACAAAAGAAGGUUUGUCCAAUUGUCCCUCAAAGUGUCUCAAAACCCUAUUUGAGUGGUCCACAAUGUGCUUUUUAAAAUCUGCAUUGUGAAUAAUUGUAUCAUUGUGGAGUGAAAUUUAACAAAAAAUAUGACUAUUUCUAACUCUGCAUAUAUGUGUUCAAUUAGACUAUUAUUCCAGUUACUUCACAUUUCUUCUUUUCCUCAGGAGAAAUACUUGACAGUACAUUGACCUCAAACAUGUAUAACAUUGAUGACACUUUCCUCUUUGCAGGAUGAUGCUCACUUUGAUCCAGAAUCACAUUUCUGUGGCUAAAGAGAUGCCUCUGGUUUGGACCAGCUGGCUGUCCCUGGUGGCCUUUGAGGACCUUCCAGAAUUCUCCACCCUGAAGAGCAUACCUCCAGAACACAUAAUCCAGAGCCUGCUGUACAGGCUUCGACAGUAUGGGGAGAAUACUGAUAUCAAAACACAACAACAAAAUGUAGAGGUAAGGUAUGGAUGAUUAAUGUCUGAUAAGAUUACUCAGUUAAAGAGUAGUGCUAUUGCGGUGGAUCUUUAAAUAUUCAUUUGUGACAUUAUUAUUUCAACUUCCAGGUUACUCAAAAGAUCCUGUGCUUUGUAUUGGAGAAAGUUGAAGAGGAGAAGGAAAGGUAUUGGAAUUUGAGAUCUGUGAGCGUGAGUCGUUUGAGUGUUAUAUUAUUCUGCUAUUGUAUGUGUGGCUUUUGUUUAUAGGCUAGCAGAUUCUGGGUAUGUGGACUCCAUCCUCUUGAGUUGCAUCAGUGUUCUGAAGAGCACUUGCCGGAUGGUGCGACUUGUCCCGUUCUACAAGGCAGCAGUGCUAUCCUUCCAACUAGUGCUGAAAGCGGCUGAAAUUCUGGAUGCUGCACUUGCAAACAAGGUAGUUGUUGAUCUGGUAAUUUGCUGUUGUUCUAUUUAUACUCCCUUUUUCUCCUCAAUUUCGUGAUAUUCAAUUGGUAGUUACAGUCUUGUCCCAUCGCUGCAACUACCGUACGGACCCAGGAGAGGUGAAGGUCGAGAGCCAUGCGUCCUCUGAAACACGACCCUGCCAAGCCGCACUGCUUCUUGACACACUGCUCGCUUAACCCGGAAGCCAUCCGCACCAAUGUGUCGGAGGAAACACAGUACAAUUAGCGACUUUGUCAGCGUGCAUGCGCCCGGUCUGCCACAGGAGUCGCUAGAGCGCAAUGCGGCUAACCCAGACCCAGACGAGGAUGGGCCAAUUGUGCGUUGCCUCAUGGGUCUCUCGGUCACUGCCGGCUGCGACACAGCCCGGGAUCGAACCUGGGUCUGUAGUGAUGCCUUAGACCGCUGCUCCACUUGGGAAGCCGUCACUGUUGUUCUUUGAACUCCAAUAGUACACCAAAUGGUGUGUGUGUUCCUUCCCAGACUCUGGAUGGUGAGGAGAAGAGACCUGAGCAGUUCCAGCUAUCUGACAAGCUUGGGGACGUGCUGCAACAUCUCAGCCAGUGGAGAGACAAUCUUCUCUACAAUGAUCUCCUGAAACAAGGCGCUCAGUCCAAAUCCCUCAGCUUCCCCAAAGAAAUAGAGGUACUGUAGCCAAACUAGCAGACAUACAAGACCUUAGCAGACGAUAUUUGUUCCCAGACGUACACAGUUUUCUGUUCAUUAUAAACCUGUUUGUAUGUGUUGGUAGAUGUGGGAUGCCUUCCUGAGGGUAGAAUGCUCUCUGCAGAGUGUGUCAGCCCAGUGGAUGUCCAGCCUGGACAGAGACCUGAGGAAGAGGAUCUCUAGGGUGAGUGUAUCGGCCUACAGACCAGGUCUUACAUUCAGGAAACCUAGGAGAGUUUUGAGAUUUGAUUAGCUAGACACAAUUGGUCAGAUUCACUCGGACACAAAUCAAGUAUAGUCCUGGACUAACUAGCACAUUCAAUGUUCUUUAUUGAGCAUUAUUUUUAGUCUAGGAUUAGGCUCAAUCUGUGUCAGGGAAACCGGCUGUGUCAUUCCUACUAUGGGGUGCCUUUCUGUCCCCAGGAAAUAUCACUUAUUAUUUCAUGUAAAAUGUAGAUUCUAAAAGGCUUUAAAUAUAAGAUCAGGUGUCCUUUACCUUAACAUCUCAAAAAUAUGGAUCUUGAAAGGGAAUUUUAUGCAUUUUGAAAAUGUCCCCUGGUGUUAUUUGUCAACUUCUAUGAAAAUUAUAAGCUAUAAUUUCCAAAAUCCAAAAUUCUUGGACUCGAGUCACAAAUUUGAUGACUUGAUAUAACAUAAAAUAACUUGAGACUUGGAGCAACAAGACUCGGGACUCGACUUGAGACCGAGUACUUGAAAUUAUCUAGCCAGGUUUUGUAAUGUUUUGGCACUCAUUUUGUGGAGUUUACGUAGAUUACUCUCCAUGCAGCCAGAGAGUGUAGCCGCAGUAUCUCCAUUGCAAAAAAAGGUGCAACAGAUUUGGUAGUGAAAUGCACACUCGGGCACUCUGAUUGGACCAACAAACUGUCAAUCAAUACAGGUCAGAUGGUGAGCUAGCGAACAAUUGCUGAUUUGCUGUACAGCACAAGGAUCGGGUGCAGCGCAAACAUCAAAUUAUAGGAGGAUUGCCAUAAUGAAUAAAUAUGCAGCUCUAAAAAAAUUGGUGAUCAGGAAUAUUAACUGUUUACUUUACAAGCUCAUCAGCAAUGGGGCAACAAUUACUAGCAUAGGCCUACUGGUAUUUUGGUAUGUAACAAUUGCUUGAAAUGUAUAAUUUACUUAUGAAGUUUGUAUUUGGAAUUUGCUGUUAAAAUGAGUUAUUACUGUGGCGAAGAUGCACCAUAGGGCACAGCUCUUCACUUGCGCUCCCAGCGCUCCCAACGCUCCCGCCACCGGAG
rnacentral:lncRNA from 1 species